AAUGAACGUUGGCGGCGUGGAUUAGGCAUGCAAGUCGAGCGAGAACCGUAGCAAUACGGGGACAGCGGCGAAAGGGAGAGUAAUACGUGGAUACCUACCCUCGGGCCCGGGAUAGCUGUGGGAAACUACAGGUAAUACCGGAUAACAUCUCCGGAUCAAAGGUGUGAUUCCGCCCGGGGAGGGUCCGCGUCCUAUUAGCUUGUUGGCGAGGUAACGGCUCACCAAGGCGAAGAUGGGUAUGGGGAUGUGAGAGCAUGAUCCCACUCACUGGGACUGAGACACUGCCCAGACACCUACGGGAGGCAG
rnacentral:rRNA from 1 species